GACGAACGCUGGCGGCGUGCCUAAUACAUGCAAGUAGAACGCACAGUUUAUACCGUAGCUUGCUACACCAUAGACAGUGAGGUGCGAACGGGUGAGUAACGCGUAGGUAACCUGCCUGGUAGCGGGGGAUAACGAUAGGAAACGAAAGCUAAUACAGCAUAAUAGUGAUUAUUGCAUGAUAAUUAAUUGAAAGGUGCAAUUGCACCACUACCAGAGGGACCUGCGUUGGAUUAGCUAGUAGGUGAGGUAACGGCUCACCUAGGCGACGAUACAUAGCCGACCUUAGAGGGUGAUCGGCCACACUGGGACUGGGACACGGCCCCGACUCCUUCGGGGGGCAGCAGUAGGGGAUCUUCGGCCAUGGACGGAAGUCUGACCGCGCCACGCCGCGUUAGUGAAGAAGGUUUUCGGAUCGUUAAGCUCUGUUGUAAGAGAAGAACGGGUGUGAGAGUGGAAAGUUCACACUGUGACGGUAUCUUACCAGAAAGGGACGGCUAACUACGUG
rnacentral:rRNA from 1 species